rnacentral:lncRNA from 1 species
CCACUACCAUAGCCAGUAACGGAGCCAUAGCCUUGCUGCUGAUCAUAUGUUGGUGGUUGUCCAUACCCUGAUUGAGAUUGUGCAUUAUAUGCAUUAUAGCUGUCCUGAGCAUAACCCUGUCCGGGUUGGCUAUAACCAGAAGAAGGUGGUUGACUAUAAUUGUAUGCAGAGCCAUCAGCUGGAGGUGCAGGACCUCCAGGAUUUUGUGGUUGCUGUGGCUGUUGACUAUAGUAAUCAUAGCCACCAGCAUGAGUUGACUGUUGGUGAGAUGGUGCAGAAGACUGGUCCCAAUUGGUGGAAUAUCCACCUGGUUGUUGGGGAGGAUAGCCCGAAUAUUGUUGCUGAGGCAUGUUAUACUGAGGUGAUGGACCAGAAUAUGCUCCAGGUUGCACAUAUCCAUAACCAGGUUGCUGCAUUGGUGCAGGGGGGGCCCAGUUAGAGGGUGGUCGAGAUUGGUAACCUUGCUGAGGAUACCCACCAGACAUUGAAGGAUUUCUAAGACGAUUCUGUGGAUUCAAAUUGAAAACCAAAAUAAAGGGAGUGAGUUCACCCAAAUUUCCACACAAGACAAGUAUAGGAAGCAACAUAUGCACACAUACACAGGUUAAACUUACAAAUGCAAAAAUCAACAUGUAAUGAACACGAGAUAAAGGGUAUAUAUAUUAUCUUGCAUUAACGGGUUGCAUACAUGAUCAGAAAGGGAUACGAAUACCUACAUACCGUACUGGUUCGUGAUAAAACUGAGUUACUCCAGCAGAAGCACACCCUUUCCCUAUUCGAAUUGAAUGGGUACAAAAGAAAGCACAGACCAUAGAAGCAAACAAUCAUUCAAUAUUUAUUGCCUUGAAAAGGCAAUCCAUCAUAUAGUAUAUCAAUAUGCAAUAUCUUACUCCAAUUGUUACACUAUACAAUAUAUCAUUCAUAUUCAUAUUAAUUCAACAAGAGUGACUGGACUACAGAUAUUUCACACCCUAUUAAGAUGAAUGCGCAACUCCAAAUUCAAAUAUACAGACUGUUGAAACAACUUUUCUGUGCUCCCAUGUACAUUCUCUCAUCCUUUGUACAACCCAUUCUAAUAGUCCAACCUCGGGAUCAUCAGUUAAAAACAAUAAAAUUAAAUAUUAUUUUAAUGGAACAUGAAUUAGAAAGAAAAGAAAAAUAAUUGAAUGAGGCAGAACAGAAGUGGCACAAAAUGUAUAACAGACAAAUCUUAAUAGAAAUCUUAAACAUAACUGGUUAGUUAAGAAAACUAUUUAACACUGGACAAGAAUAAUAAAACUGGACAAGAAUAAUAGUAUAGGGAAAAUAAUUAAAGUGCUGAACGACGGACAAAUUUCAGGUUACCUAUGCCAAAUGUAAGUCCAGUAUAAGAUACGAGGAUAAAAUACUACUCCAAGUACACUAAGGUUCUUUUUAGAAAUAAACUGAAAAGCACAAGAGACCUAGUUGAAAACUAUUUCAACAUAAUUCAACAUUGAGUCUAAUAAUGACACUAUAGUCAAAAAGUAUUAGUAGGAGACUUACUGCCCUUGAUAAUAAAUAUCAAAACUGAGAUUUAGAACCAUACCAGGGCAUGCUGAGGGAACACCAACAAAAGGAUUCAUGUUGGUGUCACCAAUGGUCCAAUAGACACUAACCCUACAACAGUCCCAAUAACAAUAUCAGUCAUAGGAUACACAAUUAAUAAGCAUAUUCCACUGUCGAAAGGUUAUAAUCUCAAUGAGUAUCCAUCUGGCCCAAAAAUAUUUCAUAAUAACAGUAGCCUUCAGAGCACCAGGAAUCUAAACCAACAAAAACAAUGAAAGACGCACCUCACCAAAGCACUGGGCUAAGUGAAAAACACAAUUAAAAUACGGUCUUUGUAAAUAUAUGGUAUCUUGGUCAAGAAAACUGACAGGCCAAUUCUAAAAUAUUGCUACCAACGUCCUUGAUUCGUGGAUGUAUAAAAGAGAUAAUGGCUAAGACGUAUUAGCUAAUUAUAUAGAGCAGACUACACAUACACAAACAUAAAGACACAGUUGACAAGUCAGACCCUGAAAGUUCAUCAUGACCAUCACCUAAUCCUAGACUAAACAUAAAGGAAGAUGCGUAUUGCUAAUAUAUCAAGACUGUUAAUCGAACAAGAUACCAUACAAUUGUUAACAACAUUAUACAGCUAAUAAUUGAUGGCUAUAGCAGUGAACGGUCUCACUAAUCAUGUUUCCACUUGGCCAGCUGACGCAACAACACUGAGGAGUUGGAGAUUACAAGCAAGAACAUCGUAACAGCCAUUAGUCUUCUACCUUUGUGCAUUAUUUUGCAUAAGUCUUGAAACACUUGCACAAUAUGAAAAUAUGUACUAAUUUUCUUUUGAGAACAAUACAGUAGGUAACAGAGAUCCGAAUAAUAUUAAUGUAUCAUAUAAUAAAGACCACUUGUUAAAGGCACAUUAGGCUCUGAAAAAAUUUCUACUUCCUUAAACAUACUCUAUCAUCUAAGCUGCUUUGGAAGAGAGAUCAAUGCAUCCCGAAUAUGCAUCAAGUUACUAAUAAUUGUCAUACAGCUAAGCUGCUUCGGUCCAGAUCAAAACAUCAAUAAUAUACAAUGUAUAAUAAUGGUCACAGUGUUAUGCUGUAUCAAUAAUAAGAUCAAGGAAUUAAUUAAUAUGAACAGAAUAAAUGUCAUUUAUGCAAAACUAAAGUGAAAACCAUCACAUGAUUUACCAAAACUAUUUUUUCCCUGCAAAGGAACAAAUCGGAGAGUACAAAAAUCAUGUAUCAUGUUACAGGAAUCAAUCAGAUCUAACUUUAUAUUUUAAUAUCAUAAAAAAUAAAAAGACCCAACAGGCAAUGACAAGCACACCGUAUUCAUCUCACAAUAACAUAAAGCUUGCACGUAAAUCAACCUAGUUUGAUCAAACAGUCUAGAUGAUAAAUAGAUUGUGCAACAUACAGAGUACAAAACCCAGUAGAAAAACAGCAAUUUUAAACACUAGACUAGACUUGGCCUUACCAGGCAGAUAUGCCUAAGCCAAAUCUGGCAAAAAGAAGCACCAUUAACAUACCUCGCCACUGAUGAUUUGAUUAACCAACUCCUUUGCAGACUCAAUUUGCUCAGGUGUCCCAUCAACUUUUAAUGUUCUUUCAGUUGAUGUGUCACCUGGAGGAAGAUGCAGAGGUAUCACCUGAAAAAACAUAUAAACAUUAGCCAAAAGUCAUAAAAGUUGGCCGUUAACACAAUCUCUUUUCAAAUUAGUUGCAAUCACAAAGCUACGGUAAAAAAAAACAUAACAACAAGGCUACACUAACUAUGAUUUAUCACCGAUAUCUAAUACACAAAUAAGAGAACAGCGUUCUAUAUAUCACUUAUAAGUACAAACCUGAAUCCGUGCUCCUGUAGAAGCUUGCAUAUUCUUUAUAGUUUCUCCUCCUUUGCCAAUUAUAAGGCCAACCUGAAGAUGCACACGAUAAACAUAUCAACCCAAAGAGAUAGAAAAAAACAGAUCUGAACACGGAAAUUACGCAUGACAUUGUACAAAGCAUACACUCAUAUCUCCCUUUCACACCUUAUUAUUUGGAAUUCUCAUGACAAAUUCAUCUGACCCAGCUUGUCCAGUCAGUCUUCGAGCAACAAUGCCAGAACCUCCAGAUUCAGCCUGGUACAACAACAGUUGUCAUCGUAUAUAUUGCAAUAAUUAAACAUGUGAGAAAUUUAUCAAGAAACAGACCUCCUUCGUAAGAUUAUCGUAACGUCAAAUCUAUGAUAAACGAAAUUUAAUACAUACAUGAUUCACAGAAAAAAAAAUAGUAUAAAAUGUGAUUAACCUCAGCAAGAACUUCAUUUAUGAGUUUCUCCGCAGAAGCAAUUGCCUCGGGAGUGCCCAUAAGCUCAACCGUUCUUGAAGUAGAAUUAGGGUCGGCGUCCAUAUCGCGAGUAACUUGAAUUUUAGCACCAGACUGCAACUGGAGAUACUUAAUAGUCUCUCCACCUUUGCCAAUAAUCACACCAACCCUGCCGUUAGGGAUAUCGAUCUUCUUGCUCGUUCCUUGGUGACUGUAGGAGACGGGAGGAACGGCUGAGUACUGAGGCUUCGCAUCUACGUUCACGGAAAACAGAGUUUAUAAAACCCUAACCUAAACGAGAAGAAUAGUGGAGCAGAGGGGAUAGCUAGUUACCGUAAGAAUCGAAGCCGGAGGUAGGAGCGCCGUUAUCGGGUUUGGCACGCUUGGCGUCGAGCGGGGGAGGAGGAGCAACGCUGAGGAGGCGAGUGGCGACUUCUUGAGCACGCUGCUUGGCAAGCUCGAUGCCGGUAGCGGGGCCGGCGGAGAAGCCGGUGGGUCUAUCGGAGGAUUGGUCUUCAUACUUGCGUUUGAGGGGCGUAGAGUCGUUGGGAGAUGAAUAGUGGGCUUCGUCCGCCAUUGGCACAAACCCUAAAGACGUUAGGUGUGUAAGAGAGGGUGGUGAUGUUAUUUAUAAUAUAUAGUGGUGGCUAGUGUGACCCCUACCAUGGGUGGGGCAGGGUAGAAAAAAAGGAGAUAUUUUGCAUCCCUUCGCUUGAGGCACCUUUACGUCAUUCAUACAAUUAUACAGAUAAAACUAUUUUUAUCUCUAUUUUUCUAUCUAUCAUCUUAUUAUUUUUAAUUUUUCUAUCUAUUUUUUAUUUUUAAGAUUUUAUAUUUAAGAUAAACAUUUUGAUAUUAUCGGUGUAUCUACUACUAAUUAAUAUUAAUUAACUUUUAAUUUUUUAUAAUUAUAUCUUGUGUUUUUAUUUAAAAUUAACAUGAUUACAUCAUCAAUAAUAAUAAAAAUAAAACUAAUUUAUGUUUAUAGAUUCAACUUUUAUGUUAUUGUAGGGUUUAAUUUUUUAUUUUCUUCAUUUUUAAAAAAUUAAACUAAACAUUUUUAAUUUACUACUUUUUUAUUUUUAUUUUGUAAAAAAUCAUUUUUUUAUUUAUUAAUUAUAUUUCUAACUAUUUAAAACAUUAAAUUAUUUUUUUAAUGCAUUCAAAAAUAAAAUUAUCAAAAAAAUUAAUUUAUUAAUUUUAAUUUUUUUACUUUUGAAAUGGUGUUAGAUAGGGAUAUAAAAAUAAAAGAGUGUUAGGUAAGAAAAUAAAGACAAGUGCGGGAAAAUAAAAAUGUAAAUAGUGUUGUUAUAUGAGGGAUUGAAUCUACAAUUCUCACUUCAUUUCAACUUUUUCGCUGUUUCUUUAAUCAAUAUUUUUUAAUAAUAUUCAUACAAAAAUAAAGGUAAUUUUUUAAUGAUAUGUUUUUUUAUUAACAAUGAUAUAUUUUAUUAAAUAAGAGUUUAUUUGCGAUAUUUUUUGUAAACUUUAUUCGGUUAAAUUGAAAAAAUUAGUAUUGAGUGACUUUUUAUGGAUUUUUAAAAUUAAAAAAAAAAAUAAAGAAGCCUAUAGGAUAAAAAUAAAUAUGUUGCUUAUGGAUUCAGUUGAAAUUAUCUUAAAGAGAAACUUUAUUUGAAUUAGUUAUAAUAAGUUUAUUUAAUUAAUGUAUUAGUAUAUUAACAAUUACCAUAUACAAUUUAGAUAUUGGCAUUCUCAUUAGUAUUUUUUUAAUAUUUUUUACCGUGAGAUCAUACAACUGAUGUAAUGGUCAAGGUUAACGGCCCCACGACCGAUAGUUCAAGUCCAGUUAUGCUCAAUCAAGGUCGACGAAGUUAAUUCGUGAUUAGGAGUCAAGUAAUGCAUCCCUAAGCAUGAUUCAGCCCCUUAACCCGACCCAAUAAAAAAAGUCAAUCAAAGAUAAUAUAAGAUUUGAUUCAAAUAUUAUAUGUGAAACUAAUAUAAGAUUUGAUUAAAAUAUUAUAUGUAAGACUAAUACAAGAUUUAUAAAUAAAAUUUAUGAACUCGACUUUAUAAAUAGAUUAAUUAUAUAUAUACUAAUAGAUGUGAACAUACAUAUUUAAAAUUAUAUAUGACUUUAACUAAAUAUUUAUUUAUUAAAAGUAUUUAUUAUUCUAGCUGAAUCCUGAUAUCGAACAACUUUUUACAAAUACUCCACACGUAUUUAGUACCAAGACUUCUUUGAUACUCUCUGUUUGAAUUGAGGUGGAAAUUUGUGAGGAAGGGAGAUAGUGAAUUGAAGAAGAUUAUGGGGAAUGUGUGAUGUUGUUUGGAUUGAGGGAUGAUAGAGUGGAUUUGUUAUGAUUGUUUAUUAAAAUUUGUAAGUGAUGAGAUAGUUAUGACAUAAUUUAGAAAUUAUUUUAAAGGUGUAAAAUGCAAAUUUACAAAUUUAUCUUUGUCAUUAAAAAAUAUUUUAAUAAUGAGUUAGGUUUUUUUUUUUUGUAAGUUUGAGUUAAUUUUUUUUCUAAUAUAUAAUAUUCAUAAUUACUCUUAUUUUGUAAUACAAAAUAAUUCCGUGUUAAAUUAAAAAAAUAUAUUAAAUAUAUUAAAAUUUAUGAAAAUAAUAUUUAUUAUUAUAUACAUUUGUUAUUUUAUAUAAUUAUAAAUGUUUUGUUGAUAUGUCAAAUAAUAUGAAUAAAUUUAGCAACUUGUUCUUCAACUAUUGAAGGAUAUGCAUCCUUAACAAGUUGCCCUAAUUCGUUUACAUAAUAUUGAAUGAAUGCUUAUGGUUACAUGCGAAUAAUGUCAUGAGAACAUCCCGUGUGCACCAAAUACUCCAUCAAUUAUUGUUUGCAAGUUGAGUAUAUAUUUUCAAUUGUUCUUAUAUUUUUUAAAUGAGAUUCAUGUUCACACGAGCAAUAUCAUUAUAAAUUGCAAUUGUAUCAUCAAAUUCUUCUUUGUCGUUUCAAAGUGGUUUCCAAUUGUUUUCGUUAUCCAUCUAAUAUUUACCUUAUCAUUGACAAUCAUAAAAUAGUUUAUCGAUACACAUCAAAUAAUUUAUGCUACGAAUAACUCUAACCACUUAAAGUUGGAGUUAGUGCAAUAGUACUAAGGUUAAUAUUAGAGUGAUGUGAAGAAUAAUGUUAAGAUUAAGACGCACUUUAAUAUUUAUAAUUAAAUCUAUAAAAAAAACACAUAAAAAUAAACAAAACAGUAAAAAUGUAAAAAAGCAAAUUUAAAUUUAAAUGAUUCACUAUAUCUUGUUAAUAAAAAAAUGUAACACUAAACACACAGUAAAAAAAAAAAAUAUAUAUAUAUAUAUAUUAAAAACAAUAAAGACAUUGAAUAAAAAAAACAGUGAACACAAAGUAAUAAGAAAAAUGUAAAUAAAUUUAUAAAAAUUAAAAAUAAUAGAUGUAAAUGCAUUUAUAAAAAACUAAAAAUAAUUACCACAUAAAAAAAAACACUAAACACCUAAAAAAAUUUAAACACAAUUAUUAAAAUUAAAAAUAGUAAACAAAUAAUAAAAAAAAUGUAAAAACAAAAACACAAAAAACACAUAAUAACAAAUAAAUAUACAAAUAUAUUUAUAAAAAAUAAAAACAGUAGUUACAUAAAUUAAAAAGACAUGAUAAUAAAAAAUAUAAAACAUUAAACAAAUAACAAAAAAAAUACAGAACAGUAAUCAAAUAAUAAAAAAUUAAACAGUAAACACAUAAUAUAAAAAAUAUAAAUACAUUUAUAAAAAUAAAAAAUUUAUAAACACAUAUAAAAACAAAAAAAAUUAAAUACAUUUAUAAAAAUUAAAAUCUGUAUGUAAACCCAUAAAAAAGCAAACAAGACAAAAAAAACCUAAGAAAAAAAUUUAAAUACAAUUAUUAAAAUAAAAAAACAAUAAACACAUAAAAAAACUAAACAGUUUCUUGUUAUUAAAAAAAAUUAAAAAACAUUAAACACAUAAUAUAUAUAUAUAUAUAUAUAAAUAUAAUUAAGAAAUAAGUAAAUACAAUAAAAUAAAAUAAAAAUAAAAAAACUAAACAAUAAACACAUAAUAAAUAAAAAAAUAGUAAAAAAACAAUAAAGACAUAAUAAUAAAAGAAAAUGUAAAUACAAUUUUAAAAAAUUAAAAAUAAUAAACUACUUUUUUUAUGAAAUACAUUUAUAAAAUUAAAAAAUAGUAAAUACAAAAAAAAAAGUGUAAAUCCAUUUAUAAAAAUUAAAUACAGUAAACACAUAAUAAAUAAAAAAGUCAAAUAUAUUUAUAAAAAUUAAAUACAAUAAAUACAUAAGAAAAACUAAACAAUAGUACAAAUGCAACAAAAAAAUGUAAAUACAAUUAUUAAGAUUAAAAACAGUAGACAUAUAAAAAAAAUAAACAGUAUCUUGUUAAUAAAAAAGAUAUAAAAACAAUAAAGACAUAAUAACAAAUAUAUAUAUAAAAAUUAAAAACAAUAAAACAUAGAAUAAAAAAAACAACAAACACAAAAUAAUAAAAAAUAUAAAAACAGUAAACAAAUAAUAAUAAAAAUAUAACUUUUUUAUAAAAAAUAAAAACAAUAAACACAUCAACAAAUGUAAAUGCAUUUAUAACAACUAAAAAUGGUAUUAUUAAAAUUAAAAAUAAUAAACACAUAAAAGUAAUAAUAAAAAUGUAAAACAUUAAACACAUAAUAAUAUAAAAAAACAUUAAAGUUAUAAAAUAAAAACUAAACCGUAAACAUAAUAAUAAAAAUAUUUAAUUACCUUAUUCGUCCCUAUAUUUGGGGUCAAUAUUCAAUUUGAUACCGUGGUUUUUAAAAAAAUCAAUUUGGUACCGUGAUUUAAAAAAUAAUCAAUUUGGUCCCUAUGUCUUUUAAAAUGUAUCCAAAUUGGUCUUUCCGUUAAAUCCCUCCUAACAGCUAACAGCGUAAGGUGUUGCUUAUGAUAAAGAGAAUGUCUAUAUGGGGAGAGAGAUGUGAGAUUAUUAUUAUUAUUAUAGUUAUUAUUAAUACUAUUAUUAUUAUUGUUAUUUUUAUUACUAUUAUUAUUAAUAUUAUUUUUCUUAAUAUUAUUACUAUUAUUGAUAUUUUUAUUACUAUUAUUACUAUUAAUAUUAUUUUUCUUAAUAUUAAUAUUAUUAUUAUUACUAAUAAAAAAUAAAAUAAAAAUAGUAAUAAUAAUAAUAUUAAGAAUAAUAAUAAGAAAAAUAAUAUUAAUAAUAAUAAUAAUAAUAGUAAUAAUAAUAUUUAUAUUAAGAAUAAUAAUAAUAAUAAUAAUAAUUCUCAAUCUCACCUCUCCCUCCACAUAAACACUCUAUCUCCCACAUAAACACUCUCUCUAACCCACAUUCUUUCUGUGUCACAUAAGCAACACCUACGCUGUUAGGUGGAACUUAACGGAAAUGACCAAUUUGGAUACAUUUUAAAAUAUAUAGGGACCAAAUUGAUUUUUUUAAAAACCACGGUACCAAAUUGAAUAUUGACCCCAAAUGUAUGGACGAAUAAGGUAAUUAAAUAUAAUAAAAACUGUAAAACCAAUAAACACAUAAUAAUAAAAAAGAAAAGUAAAUACAUUUAGAAAAAUAAAAAACUGUAAACACAAAAUAUAAACUAAACAAUAAAUACAUAUAAAAGAGUAUAAAUAUUGUACUGUUACAGUCUAUAGGACUGAUAGCACGUCUCGAACUUCGUCACUGGAUCGACCGAGUCCCUAUGGCCUGUAUCUAUAAGGGCAAUCGAAAUCAUGAUUCCAAUUACUCUCCAGCAAGAUCAGCAAGGCUAAUCCAUGAUUAGGAGCUAGGUAAUGCAACCCUAAUCACGGUCCAACUCCCUAAUCCAACCCAACAAGAGAAAACUCGUCAAAGGUAAUAUAAAUAACACAUAUUCUAAGGAUCAGGUACAUUAUCUACCGUGCUCUAGCUAUCGAGUGUCGAACCCUUUUGUUGACUUUAGCGUCAAAGUGUCUUCUGCAUGUACUCUCAUUCGGUACUCACGAGACGACCGAGAACCGAGGCUAGGAAGGAAAGGAGAGGAACGAGUAAGAAAGGAAGUUGAAGAGUAGCACAACCGACCCAUAAAAAAGAAGAAGACGAGUUCUCUCAAUAGUUUUUUAGGCCCCAUCCCCGAACGAAAAUAAAUACAUUUAUUAAAAAUAAAAACAGUAAACAUAAUAAAAAAAUAGUUACCACACUUAAUAGAAAAAAACUCUAUAUAAAAAAAAAUUAUUAAAAACUUACGUGAAGGUGAAGGCAGAGAAGAAACCGUGUGAUAAACAUAACCAACCAAAGAACCACUGCAAUCAGACACAAGAAGAUGAACCAAGAUCCAAUCUGAAAAAAAAAAAAAAAACAGAAUGAAUUCCAAUAUUUUUCUCAAAUAAUGACUGAUAAGAUUAAUAAAAAAACUCACACAAAAAUUAAAAUAAAAUGCAACAAUUGUUAUGAUUUAAAGAAGAGGACGGCAACGAAUUUUCGAAACUUUAGACGAGUAAAAAGAAACGAGAUAGGUGAAUUAUAUAGCAAAACCUUUUACUAUAAUAGUAAAACAAAAUUAAGAAAAAAUGUUUAAUUAUUUAUUUUUUAUAUUUUAUUAAAGAAGGAAAUAAAUGGUUAUGUAUGGAGAGGGAAAAGAAUGAAAUUUGGGGAGGAAGGAAUAUGAGAGAAGAAAAGGAAAAGGAUAAAGUGUUGGAAGUGAGGAUUAAUUAUUUCUUAAUUAGAUAUUUAUUUAAAAAUAAUAGAAAUUAAUUUAAAAAUUAAAAAAGAAAAAUUUAAAUAAUUUUUAAUUUAUUUAAUAUUGUAAUUAAUUAUUUUGGUAUUUAAAAGUUGUUUUUUAUUUGAUGAUUGUCUUGUAGUAAUAGAUGACAAACCAUUAUAAUAUUAUAAUAAUAUUUUAUUUUAAAAAUUAAAUUAAAUUAUUAAAAUAUUAAUUUAUUUGUUUGUGAAAUUAUACUGUAUAUAGUGUCCACAUAUCACCAAUCAUUUAAAAUUCUCUACAUCACAAUUUACUGUCUUUUUUGUUUAGUAUGUGAAUUUAUCAGCUUAUUGUGAUUUUAGUUUCUCAAUUUACCCACAUCCCAGGUUAAUAUCUUUUUAAUUCCUAAAAUUAGUUACACAAUGUCAAUUAAGAGAUUAAAGUAGAAAUAAAAUGCUAAAUUCAGAAACUAAAAUACUCAUAAAUAAUUAAAUUCGGAGCUAAAACGAUAAAAUACAGUAAAGUCUGGGAUAAAAAAUUAAUAAAUAAAUAAUGAUAAAGUUAUAGUUUUACCUUAAUUUUUGAAUUUUAGUACUUUCAAAAACUGUUCUUUACCUGUUUUGUGCGACCAACUUAGCACACUGUUGUGUUUCGCGGCUGGGCUGCUUCAUUUCUCUACCACCACCAACAACCAUCGUCUUGUCACCUCAGAGUCAUCUACAGUUGUUCUUGGGGAUUUUGUGUUUUCAUUCACAUUUCACACUUACAUUAAAGGUAAAAACGAUUUUGAAUAUAUAGAUUUUGUUUGCAUAUUGCACCCAUUUUCUUUGUAUUCUUGGCACUGGCUUUUACUUUUUGGAAAAAGGGUUUGUCUCUAACAACGUGAGAAACUGUUGGAAUACCUGUUGGGAGAGAUUAAGCAUAGUGUUUGAAGCAAAAUUGUAUCUUGGAAUGGGAAACAAAAAGUUUAGACAACAGGGUUAACAAAACAAUACUCAUAUCCAUUCUCUCUAUAUUGGUUGUCAUGUACCUGGGUCUGAACAGUUAUACUAUGUUGCAUCUCAGUUCAAAAUGGUCAAAUUUUUCAUUUUCAUCAAUGUCAUUUGUUAUCAAUGUCAUGAUAUUUAGUUUCUCCAUUUGUUGUGUUUAAUGUUUGCUUUAUGAAAACAAGAGAGAUUUAUUCAUUAAUGCUAAGUAGUUAACUCUCUAUGGACUGUAGUAAUCUAAACAGUUUAGCUUUUUCACUUUCCAUUAUCAGUCCUUCUACACCUCUUUCUUCCAAGUCUUGCUACCAUGAAAAGUAGACAUGUCUAUAAUUAUGUGGUUCUGCAUCUAAAUUAUAAUAUAACACUAUAUUAAUAAAUUAGUUUCCAAAAUUAUGGAUUCUAGUUAAUUAGUAUAUGAAAUUGUAAAAGUAUAAUUGGAGUCAUCAAAGUUGGAGGAGUCAUUAUAAUAUUUCAGUACAAGAAUUAAAUUGGCUAAUGAUCUAGAACUAAAUUAUUUGUCAUUUUUUUAAUAUCUAGAAUUCAUAUAACAUUUUAUAAAUUAAAAAAAAACCAUAUGUAUAAAUGAUUUUAUUCAACAAGAGAAUCAUUAAUAAUGUAUUCUUUGUUCACCUCUGGACUCUGUCACUCUAUGUGUGUAUGUGUGUAUACACAGUCAAUUUUAAAUUUUAAAUAUGGUUUUAAUUCUUGUAAUCUACUUUCUGAUAUGUUUCUGGUCACUCUACACAAACUCAGCUUAUCUCUCAAUCUUAAAUAAUUAUGAUUUAAUUUACUGUUUAAAGAAAAAAAUCAGUUAAGUUGUAAAAAAAAAUUGUAUUGUUUUUUUCAUUUUUUUUUUAAAUUUUUAGAAAAUUAAACCAAAUUUUCUUUAAUUAUUUACUUUUAUUUUUUCAUCUUUUGUCCUGAACUUUAAUUGUAGAAUGUCCUAAAAAAACUAAACUCUGGAGAGCAUUAUUAAAAAGAAAAAAGGGAGAGAAUUGGUUGCUUGCUCGCGAAGUAUGAGGGUCUAAACAAAGUUAUAAUACUAUAUUUCCCAUUAUGAAUCUUUUAAAGAAGCAUUUUGUUUCAGUUUAUCGUAUACUCUUGGUUGACAAGUUUGUGAAGGAAAGGCCCCGAACACACAUUCAGAGCUUUAUUCACCAUUACUUCAAGGUAAAAGUUCUGAAUCAAAACCUCAUAUAUCUUUCUUCUGUAUCAAGUACAUGUUCUGUAAAUUGUUUUCUAUGACUGACUUCACUUGUUUUGAAUUUGAACACAUUUUAGAAUCACUUGAAAGAAAAUGGCAGAACAAAAUAAGGAAUGGGCUGUGGGAAUUGACCUUGGCACAACAUACUCAUGUGUUGCUGUAUGGCUAGAGGAACACUGUCGAGUGGAGAUAAUUCACAAUGAUCAGGGCUGUAGAACAACGCCUUCAUCUGUGGCUUUCACAGAGAAUCAAAGAUUGAUCGGUGAUGCUGCUAAAAAUCAGGCUGCUAUUAACCCAACUAACACUGUCUUUGGUAAAUAAUUGCUUUUUAUUGCAUGUGAAUUCAUUUAAAUGUUUAAACUAGUUAUUUGUGUUGGCUUUUAGUUGCAAAUGAUACCUUAACAUUCAUCAUUUACUUUGUGCCAAAAAGUAUACUUUUUGUCCAGUACUCUAAUUUGUUCUAUAACUUUAAAUUAAUAAAUAUCAUUCCAUAAGACUAUUUUGAUUAGCAUCAUUGAGGAAUAGCCUUAAAUUCGUGCUCGAUUAAUGACUAAUUUUGCAGAUGUGAAAAGGUUAAUCGGCAGAAGAUACAGUGAUCCCAUUAUCCAGGACGAUCUAAAGUUGUGGUCAUUUAAGGUCAUUGCUGAUUCUGAUGACAAACCCAUGAUAGCUGUUUCAUACAAAGGUCAGGAGAAACACAUUUCAGCUGAAGAAAUCUCAUCUAUGAUCCUCACAAAGAUGCGGGAGACUGCAGAAGCGUACUUGGAAUCAGGGGUUAAGAAUGUUGUGGUUACUGUGCCUGCUUAUUUUAAUGACUCUCAGCGACAAGCAACCAAAGAUGCUGGUACCAUUGCUGGCCUCAAUGUCAUGCGGAUAAUCAAUGAACCCACAGCUGCAGCUCUGGCAUACGGCCUUGACAAGAGAGCAAAAUGUGUUGUUGGAGAGAGAAAUAUUUUCAUCUUUGAUCUUGGUGGUGGUACAUUUGACGUGUCUCUGCUCACAAUCAAGGGUGAUGUCUUCAAAGUCAAGGCCACUGCUGGUGACACGCACCUUGGAGGAGAGGACAUGGAUAACAGAAUGGUAAAGUACUUCGUUGAGGAGUUCAAGAGGAAGAACAAAGUUGACAUCAAUGGGAACCGGAGAGCCUUGAGGAGGUUGAGAACUGCUUGUGAGAGAGCAAAAAUAAUAAUAAUAAUUGAAUGCGGACUGACCCACAAACUCAUGGGCCAGCACUUAUGCAGAGCGAGACCGAAAAUCACUCGUGCAAGAUUUGAGGAGCUCAACUUGGACCUCUUUAAAAGGUGUAUGGAGACAGUAGAUAUGUGUCUUGUUGAUUCUAAGAUGGACAAGAGUGAUGUAGAUGAUGUUGUUCUCGUUGGUGGUUCUUCUAGGAUUCCCAAAGUGCAACAGCUAUUGCAAGACUACUUCAAGGGGAAGGAACUGUGCAUGAGCAUCAACCCUGACGAGGUUGUUGCUUAUGGAGCAGCAAUUCCCAACUUAGUGUUAUUAGAUGCUACACGGCUGUCACUUGGUAUAUCUUUAAAAGGAGAUCUCAUGAGUGUUGUGAUUCCUAGGAACACCACCAUUCCUGUUGAGAAGAAAAAAGUAUAUGUUAAGAUCAGAAGAUUUCCCAAUCUUAUGUCCAAAGUAAAGGUUUACGAGUGUGAAAGGACAAUAGCAAGUGAUAACAAUUUGCUUGAUUUUUUUAAUCUUUAUGGCAGUCCUUAUGCUCUUUGAGGCCAUCCUUUAACUGUAAGUUUCAGUAUAGAUGUUGAUGGUACUUUAAGUGUAAUUGCUGAGGAAGAAAGCAGUGGAAGUAAGAACGGGAUUACUGUAACCAACGACAAGGGAAGACUAUCAACUCAACAAAUUAUGAGAAUGAUUCAAGAUGCCGAGAUAUACAAGGCUGAAGACCAGAAGUACCAAAAGAAAGUUCAAGCAAUUGAUGCUAGCCAGCAGACAGAAACAGAGGUGUUUGUGGAUCAUCUGAAUGAGGUGAAGAGCCUCAUUGAACUCAUUAUGAGGAUUAACUAGUUUGUUUCAAAACUCAAAUUUGGAAAAUCGAUUAUGCUUCUUGAAAAACAUCACAAUCGAUUUUUUAAAUUAUUCUGAAUGUAUAGUGUUGAUAAAAAAAAUAAGAUAAACCAGUUAUUUAGUUUCUCAAACCACUUUUCUUGUUCCUCAAAGCACGAGCUCUCUCGUUUUGUUCUAGGAAGAAGAGCAAAUCACAACAAACAAAACUAUCACAAAACUAAUUUUAUUUAUACACAAAGUUCACGUUCAUGAGUCUACAAUUUUUUUGUCAAGAUUCUUUUGCACCCAGCACUGUAAAGAAGAAAACCGAAAACUCAUUCACAUGCAGAUGCCUACAUUGUUUAAUAUAUUUGAUGGAAGGGUAACAAAAUAAAUUAGUAUUUGUGCUUCUAUAUUCCGCGCAAAUCUUCUCAGUUUUAUGAAGAGUGAAAAAACUAUCUACCCUGCUCUCCCAUCCGCACUCACACUCUCAUAUACACUCAUCCAAACAAAAACUCUUUCCACUUCCCUUCCUCCUCUUUUGUCACACCUUGAAGCAAAUAGGAUGUAAGAUUGAGGACAUGCAAAUGAACAAGAUUACGUGAACCUUCCUAACCCAUUAGACAUCAUAUGAUAGUUUUAUUUAUAUAUUGAUUUGAUCUAUUUAGAAAAAAUGUCAAAUCUAAGCAUUUAUAAGCAAAGUUGGAAGUUUUUAGAAAAUAGUAGGCUUGAACCUCUUUUAAGUUAUAGUAUUUUUUUUUUUAUGCUAUAUCAAUAUUAUAUGAGUUAAAAUUGUUUUAAAUAAUUUUCAUUUUUGAGAUCCAUCUAAUACUCCAAACCAAACAAGCAUUAUCAACAAUUCCAUUUUUAUGCAAAAUUCAUCCAUAGAUAAAAAUAAAACAUGCAACAAAAAUAACUAACUGAAAAAUAAAUUAUACACCAUAAUAACUUUAUAUUAUCAUACAAUGACACAGUGUAAAAUAAAGAUAUUAACUUUUACUAUUAUCAAAACUUUAUCUGCCAAACGUUUAAAAUCAAACAAUUUCAACAAAAUCUUUAAAUUUUAUUGGACUUUCCUCAUCUGUAUCUAUUUCUACAGAAAUGGCUUUAACUGCUUACUCGUAUUAACAGCUACUUUCGUAUAAAAUAUAUGUUGACAAAUUAUUCAUGGGCAUAAUUUAUUCUAAAUUUUUCACCAAACACUUGCAAAUAUCACUCAAUUCACAAGAUAAACCGGGCCAUAAAUUAUCUAUUCCAGACGAAACCAUGAAGCAUAAAAUUGACAACUGAAAGUAGCUAAAUAAACUAAAAGUUCAUGAAAAUCGAGAGUUAUUUUCGUAACUUCAGAUAAGCCUUUUUCAAAAGCGAUAAAAAUGAACUCCUACUCAACCGUACAAAAUACUAAAAAUGUAGAAAAUAUCAAUACACCAAUUCUUCCAUCUUAACAAUGCAAUGCUACAUAGUAUCACUAGCAAAAUAAAACCGGUAAAACACAACUAAAAAAAAAGAUAGUCCCAGGGAACAGCAAGGGGACAAAAAUAUCAACUCUGAGGCGAUGCUUUAGCAACGGCAGUCUGAGGCUGAGUGUUCCCACUGGCAUUACCAUCGGCAGUAUAUGCUGGAGCCUGAGUAUAACCAGCACCAUAAGAACUACUGCUGUAUGGAGGCGGUGCCUGACCAUAAGUAGGCUGGCCACCCUGAGGUGCACCAUAUGUUUGAGAACCAUACCCUGGUUGCCCUGCACCAUAUCCCGAAGGUGGUGCUCUCUGAGCACCAGAUUCUGGUUGGGGUUGAGAAUAACCAGAUGGUGGAGGCUGCGCAGGAUAUGCUGACUGACCAUAGCCUCCUACCGCACUAGGUGACUGUGACUGUCCAUAAACAGGAGGAUUAGCACUUGGCUUUUGAGAUUGAGGGGCUCCAUAACCUGGCUGUGGUUGACUUCCAUAAGCAGCUUGGGAUGUAGGGGGAACCCCAUAACCUGACUGAGGAGUUCCCUGAGGUGGGUAGCUGGCAGUGUUUGAGCUGGGCUGUUGGCUGGUAGGAUAACCUUGCUGUGGCUGUUGGGUAGAUGGAGCUUGGGCUGAAUCUCCCUGAGAUGCAUAACUUGCAGUGUGGCCAUCUGGUGCUGAGUUAUUCCCACUACCAUAGCCGGUAGUAGCUGACCCAUAGCCUUGCUGCUGAUCAUAUGCUGGUGGCUGUCCAUACCCUGAUUGAGAUUGUGCAUUGUAUGCAUUAUAGCUGUCCUGAGCAUAACCCUGUCCGGGUUGGCUAUAACCAAAAGAAGGUGGUUGACUGUAACUGUAAGCAGAGCCAUCCGCUGGAGGUGCAGGGCCUCCAGGAUUUUGCGGUUGCUGUGGCUGUUGACUAUAGUAAUCAUAGCCACCAGCUUGAGUAGACUGUUGGUGAGGUGGUGCAGAAGACUGGUCCCAGCUGGUGGAAUAUCCACCUGGUUGUUGAGGAGGAUAGCCUGCAUAAGGUGGUUGAGGCAUAUUAUACUGAGGUGAUGGACCAGAAUAUGCUCCAGGUUGCAUAUAGCCAUAACCAGGUUGCUGCAUUUGAGCAGGGGGAGCCCAGUUCGAGGGUGGUCGAGAUUGGUAGCCUUGCUGAGGAUAUCCACCAGACAUUGAAGGAUUUCUAACACGAUUCUGUGGAGACAAAUUCAAACCAAAUAUGAAGAGUGAAUUCACCCAAGUUUCCACAUUUCGAGUACAGAAAUCAACAGAUGCACACACAUACACAGGUUAAACUUACGCAGUUAAGAAUAAACAUGAAGAACACAAGAUAAAGUAUACAAGUUGCAUAAAAAGAUUGCAUACAAGAAUAGAAAGGGAUAUAUAUACCAACAUACCGUACUGGUUCGUGAUAAAACUGAGUUACUCCAGCAGCACACCUUUUCCCUAUUCGAAUUGAAUGGGUACAAAAGGAAGCACAGACCAAAGAAGCAGACAAGCAUACAAUUUGAAUUGCUUAAAAAGGCAAUCCAUCAUAUAGUAUCACAAAAUAUGUAUGAUCUUAUCUCAAUUAUUACACCAUAUAAUAUAUUCUUCAUAAUCAUAUUAAUUCAACUAGAGUAUCAGGACUACAAAUAUUUUACUGCAUAUGAUGAAGGAGUAACCAUAAAUAUACAGACUGUCAAGACCACUUCCCUGUUCUCCCAUGUACCUCCUUUUAACCUUUGUUUAACCCACUCUAACAGGUUAACCUCAAAGGAUUAUAAAAUAAAAGAAAAUUAAAUUAAAUAUUAUUUGAGUAGAACAGGAAUUGAAAAUAGGGACCUGAAAAUGUAUUUAAUGUGUGUAACUCGAGCGUCAAAACUAUCAGUUAAAGGGCACAAGAUUAAGAAAAACAGUUGAAUGAUAAGACAGAUAAAAAGUGGGCAUGGGCUAUAGAAAGGCAAUGAUGCCACAAGAAAUGAACAACCCACUACACACAUCCGAAACAACAGACGGAUCAUAAAAGAAGUCUUGACACAUAACUUGUUAGUUUAAACAAUUAUAACUAUAAAUUGAUGAAGUAAUAGUAUAGGAAAGUUAUUUUUCCUCACAAUAGCAACUACAGGUUAUUAUGCCAAAUGUAAGUCCAGCAUAAGACACAAAUAUAAAAUAUUUUUUCAAAUAUAUGAAGUUUUUACGAAUUAACUAAAAAGCACAAUUGGCAUGGUUGAAAAGGAUUUCAACACAAUAAUCAAUAUAGUUUAGUAAGGACACUGUAAGUAAAAAAAUGUAUCAAUAGGAGACUUACUGCCCUUGAUAACAAUUAUCAAAACUGAGAUUUAGAACCAUACCAGGGCAUGAUGAGGGAACACCAACAAAGGAAUUCAUGUUGGUGUCACCAAUGGUCCAAUAGACACUAUAAUCCUACAAUAGUCCCAAUAACAAGAUCAGUCAUAGGAUACACAGUUAAUAAUAUUCCAUUGUUGAACAGGCUAUAAUCCCAAUGAGAAUCCACUUGGACAAAAAAAUGUCAUAAUAAUAGUAGCCUUCAUGGCCCCCAGCAACCUAGCCCACAAAAGCGUUGAAAGACCCACCACACUAAUGAACUGGGCCAUGAGAAAAACUUUACCACAGUUAAAACAGUCUUUGCAAGAUCUUGGCAUCUUGGGGAGAAAAGACAAUCCAAUUCGAAAAUAAUCCCAUUAAGGUCCUCACUUUCUGUAUGUAUAAAAAUCGGUAUGAUUUAUUAUCUAAUAAUAUAGCAGAUAACAAUGACACACAAACACAUAUAGACACAGUUUUUUACCAUUGACCUAAGCUAAGACCAAACUAAAGAUACUGAUCUGUGAAUAUGGUACUACUAAAUCAGGACCCAAUUCAUGAACAUACCAUACAUUUGUUAACACCAUAAUAUAGCUGAUAAAUAUCAUGGAUACUACAGUGGCUUGUCUCCCUAAUCAUGUCUGUUUUUGGUGAGCAAAUGCAACUAAGCGGAGGACAAUUGGAGAUUACAAGUAAAAACAUCAUAACAUCAAUUGGCAAUUCAGUGUGUUUUGUUUUAAAGUUGGGAAGUCUCAAACGGAAGUUGAACUCAUUCAGACUAGAGAGAUGGAUUGGAGUGUGUAACUGUUAAACAAGCACACAAUUUAUCUUCCACCAUUUUGCAUUUUUUUAUACUAGUCUUGAAACAAAACUAUGCACUAAUUCUCUUCCAGGAACAAUACAACAAGUAACAGACAUCCAUCGAUAUAGAUGUAUCAAUUAUCAAAAGAUUACUUGUUGAAUAUACUUACAGCUGAAGAAACAGUGCUUAUUUAAACAUAUACUUACAGCUAAAAAGUCAAUUUAAUCAGGAGAUCAAUGAAUUCAGAACAUAUAAGUUGAUUGAUAAUGCUCACGAUAUGAAGUAAUAUCAUUAAUAAGAUCAAUGAAUUGAUAAACAUGGACGUAAACAUCAUUUAUGCCAACUAAGGUGAAAUCAUCACAUAAUUUACCAAAUUAUUCUCUCCCAGCAAUGAAACAGAAUAAAUUAUUGAAGACAAUCCAAAACUCGUCUAACAUGUUAAUGAAUCCAUCAGUUCUAGUUUUAUAUUUUAUUUUAACAUCAUACCAAAUAACAAAGUUCUAGUUCUAAAUUUUAUUUUAAUAACAUACAAAAAUAACGAAGACCCAGGAGGCAAUUACAAGUGCACAAUAUCAUCCUUACAAUCACAUAAAGUCACCAAUGUGAUCAAAUAAACAUUCUAAAAGAUGAUUAUAUAUCAGCAACAAAAAGAAAACAGAACCGAGUACAAAAUCCACAAUUUAAACACUAAACUGUACUUCGCACAAGGCAGGCAUGACAUGCUAAGCCAAAUGUAUCCACCAGAGAAAAUUUUUAACAUACCUC